rnacentral:rRNA from 1 species
AUUGAACGCUGGCGGCAGGCCUAACACAUGCAAGUCGAGCGGAUGAAGGGAGCUUGCUCCUGGAUUCAGCGGCGGACGGGUGAGUAAUGCCUAGGAAUCUGCCUGGUAGUGGGGGAUAACGUCCGGAAACGGGCGCUAAUACCGCAUACGUCCUGAGGGAGAAAGUGGGGGAUCUUCGGACCUCACGCUAUCAGAUGAGCCUAGGUCGGAUUAGCUAGGUGGUGGGGUAAAGGCCUACCAAGGCGACGAUCCGUAACUGGUCUGAGAGGAUGAUCAGUCACACUGGAACUGAGACACGGUCCAGACUACUACGGGAGGCAGCAGUGGGGAAUAUUGGACAAUGGGCGAAAGCCUGAUCCAGCCAUGCCGCGUGGGUGAAGAAGGUCUUCGGAUUGUAAAGCACUUUAAGUUGGGAGGAAGGGCAGUAAGUUAAUACCUUGCUGUUUUGACGUUACCAACAGAAUAAGCACCGGCUAACUUCGUG